rnacentral:rRNA from 1 species
AUUGAACGCUGGCGGCAGGCCUAACACAUGCAAGUCGAGCGGAUGAAGGGAGCUUGCUCCUGGAUUCAGCGGCGGACGGGUGAGUAAUGCCUAGGAAUCUGCCUGGUAGUGGGGGAUAACGUCCGGAAACGGGCGCUAAUACCGCAUACGUCCUGAGGUAGAAAGUGGGGGAUCUUCGGACCUCACGCUAUCAGAUGAGCCUAGGUCGGAUUAGCUAGUUGGUUGGGUAAAGGCCUACCAAGGCGACGAUCCGUAACUGGUCUGAGAGGAUGAUCAGUCACACUGGAACUGAGACACGGUCCAGACUCCUACGGGAGGCAGCAGUGGGGAAUAUUGGACAAUGGGCGAAAGCCUGAUCCAGCCAUGCCGCGUGUGUGAAGAAGGUCUUCGGAUUGUAAAGCACUUUAAGUUGGGAGGAAGGGAAGUAAGUUAAUACCUUGCUGUUUUGACGUUACCAACAGAAUAAGCACCGGCUAACUUCGUG